AGAGUUUGAUCAUGGCUCAGAUUGAACGCUGGCGGCAGGCCUAACACAUGCAAGUCGAACGGUAACAGGAAGCAGCUUGCUGUUUCGCUGACGAGUGGCGGACGGGUGAGUAAUGUCUGGGAAACUGCCUGAUGGAGGGGGAUAACUACUGGAAACGGUAGCUAAUACCGCAUAACGUCGCAAGACCAAAGAGGGGGACCUUCGGGCCUCUUGCCAUCGGAUGUGCCCAGAUGGGAUUAGCUUGUUGGUGGGGUAACGGCUCACCAAGGCGACGAUCCCUAGCUGGUCUGAGAGGAUGACCAGCCACACUGGAACUGAGACACGGUCCAGACUCCUACGGGAGGCAGCAGUGGGGAAUAUUGCACAAUGGGCGCAAGCCUGAUGCAGCCAUGCCGCGUGUAUGAAGAAGGCCUUCGGGUUGUAAAGUACUUUCAGCGGGGAGGAAGGGAGUAAAGUUAAUACCUUUGCUCAUUGACGUUACCCGCAGAAGAAGCACCGGCUAACUCCGUGCCAGCAGCCGCGGUAAUACGGAGGGUGCAAGCGUUAAUCGGAAUUACUGGGCGUAAAGCGCACGCAGGCGGUUUGUUAAGUCAGAUGUGAAAUCCCCGGGCUCAACCUGGGAACUGCAUCUGAUACUGGCAAGCUUGAGUCUCGUAGAGGGGGUAGAAUUCCAGGUGUAGCGGUGAAAUGCGUAGAGAUCUGGAGGAAUACCGGUGGCGAAGGCGGCCCCCUGGACGAAGACUGACGCUCAGGUGCGAAAGCGUGGGGAGCAAACAGGAUUAGAUACCCUGGUAGUCCACGCCGUAAACGAUGUCGACUUGGAGGUUGUGCCCUUGAGGCGUGGCUUCCGGAGCUAACGCGUUAAGUCGACCGCCUGGGGAGUACGGCCGCAAGGUUAAAACUCAAAUGAAUUGACGGGGCCCGCACAAGCGGUGGAGCAUGUGGUUUAAUUCGAUGCAACGCGAAGAACCUUACCUGGUCUUGACAUCCACAGAACUUUCCAGAGAUGGAUUGGUGCCUUCGGGAGCUGUGAGACAGGUGCUGCAUGGCUGUCGUCAGCUCGUGUUGUGAAAUGUUGGGUUAAGUCCCGCAACGAGCGCAACCCUUAUCCUUUGUUGCCAGCGGUCCGGCCGGGAACUCAAAGGAGACUGCCAGUGAUAAACUGGAGGAAGGUGGGGAUGACGUCAAGUCAUCAUGGCCCUUACGACCAGGGCUACACACGUGCUACAAUGGCGCAUACAAAGAGAAGCGACCUCGCGAGAGCAAGCGGACCUCAUAAAGUGCGUCGUAGUCCGGAUUGGAGUCUGCAACUCGACUCCAUGAAGUCGGAAUCGCUAGUAAUCGUGGAUCAGAAUGCCACGGUGAAUACGUUCCCGGGCCUUGUACACACCGCCCGUCACACCAUGGGAGUGGGUUGCAAAAGAAGUAGGUAGCUUAACCUUCGGGAGGGCGCUUACCACUUUGUGAUUCAUGACUGGGGUGAAGUCGUAACAAGGUAACCGUAGGGGAACCUGCGGUUGGAUCACCU
rnacentral:rRNA from 1 species